rnacentral:rRNA from 1 species
UACGUAGGGUGCAAGCGUUGUCCGGAAUUAUUGGGCGUAAAGAGCUCGUAGGCGGCUUGUCGCGUCGGCUGUGAAAACCUGGGGCUCAACCCCGGGCCUGCAGCCGAUACGGGCAGGCUAGAGUUCGGUAGGGGAGACUGGGAUUCCUGGUGUAGCGGUGAAAUGCGCAGAUAUCAGGAGGAACACCGGUGGCGAAGGCGGGUCUCUGGGCCGAUACUGACGCUGAGGAGCGAAAGCGUGGGGAGCGAACAGG